UGAGGAAUAUUGGGCAAUGCCCGCAAGGGUGACCCAGCAACGCCGCGUGGAGGAUGAAUGUCGUAAGAUUGUAAACUCCUGUUAGAGGGGAAGAAUAGUACCGGUUGGACCGGUAUAUGACUGUACCCUCAGAGAAAGCCCCGGCUAACUACGUGCCAGCAGCCGCGGUAAUACGUAGGGGGCAGGCGUUGUCCGGAUUUACUGGGUGUAAAGGGCGCGCAGGCGGGAUAAAAAGUCAGUGGUGAAAUCCUACAGCUUAACUGUAGAACUGCCUUUGAUACUUUUAUUCUUGAGUUCGGGAGAGAGAGACGGAAUUCCAGGUGUAGUGGUGAAAUACGUAGAUAUCUGGAAGAACACCAGUUGCGAAGGCGGUCUCUUGAUCCGACACUGACGCUGAGGCGCGAAAGCGUGGGGAGCAAACA
rnacentral:rRNA from 1 species